rnacentral:rRNA from 1 species
AUUGAACGCUGGCGGCAUGCCUUACACAUGCAAGUCGAACGGUAACAGGUCUUCGGUUGCUGACGAGUGGCGAACGGGUGAGUAAUACAUCGGAACGUGCCCGAUCGUGGGGGAUAACGAAGCGAAAGCUUUGCUAAUACCGCAUACGAUCUACGGAUGAAAGCGGGGGAUCUUCGGACCUCGCGCGGACGGAGCGGCCGAUGGCAGAUUAGGUAGUUGGUGGGAUAAAAGCUUACCAAGCCGACGAUCUGUAGCUGGUCUGAGAGGAUGAUCAGCCACACUGGGACUGAGACACGGCCCAGACUCCUACGGGAGGCAGCAGUGGGGAAUUUUGGACAAUGGGCGCAAGCCUGAUCCAGCCAUGCCGCGUGCAGGAUGAAGGCCUUCGGGUUGUAAACUGCUUUUGUACGGAACGAAAAGGUGCCUUCUAAUAAAGGGCGCUCAUGACGGUACCGUAAGAAUAAGCACCGGCUAACUACGUG